rnacentral:rRNA from 1 species
GACGAACGCUGGCGGCGUGCUUAACACAUGCAAGUCGAACGGAAAGGCCCUGCUUUUGUGGGGUGCUCGAGUGGCGAACGGGUGAGUAACACGUGAGUAACCUGCCCUUGACUUUGGGAUAACUUCAGGAAACUGGGGCUAAUACCGGAUAUGAGCUCCUGCUGCAUGGUGGGGGUUGGAAAGUUUCGGCGGUUGGGGAUGGACUCGCGGCUUAUCCGCUUGUUGGUGGGGUAGUGGCUUACCAAGGCUUUGACGGGUAGCCGGCCUGGGAGGGUGACCGGCCACAUUGGGACUGAGAUACGGACCAGACGCCUACGGGAGGCAGCAGGGGGGAAUAUUGCGCAAUGGGGGGAAGCCUGAUGCAGCAACGCCGCGUGCGGGAUGACGGCCUUCGGGUUGUAAACCGCUUUCGCCUGUGACGAAGCGUGAGUGACGGUAAUGGGUAAAGAAGCACCGGCUAACUACGUG